rnacentral:rRNA from 1 species
GAGUUUGAUCAUGGCUCAGGAUGAACGCUAGCGGCAGGCUUAACACAUGCAAGUCGAACGGUAACAGGAAAUAGCUUGCUAUUUUGCUGACGAGUGGCGCACGGGUGCGUAACGCGUAUACAAUCUACCUUUUACAGAGGGAUAGCCUUUAGAAAUGAAGAUUAACACCUCAUAGUAUCUAAUUAUCUCAUGGUAUUUAGAUUAAAACUUCGGUGGUGAAAGAUGAGUAUGCGUUCUAUUAGCUAGAUGGUGUGGUAACGGCACACCAUGGCUACGAUAGAUAGGGGCCCUGAGAGGGGGAUCCCCCACACUGGUACUGAGACACGGACCAGACUCCUACGGGAGGCAGCAGUGAGGAAUAUUGGACAAUGGGCGAGAGCCUGAUCCAGCCAUGCCGCGUGCAGGAAGACUGCCCUAUGGGUUGUAGACUGCUUUUAUACAGGAAGAAACCUUCCACGUG